ACGUAGGGGGCAAGCGUUGUCCGGAUUUACUGGGCGUAAAGAGCGUGUAGGCGGCCAAGCAGGUCCGUUGUGAAAACUGGAGGCUUAACCUCCAGACGUCGACGGAAACCGCGUGGCUAGAGUCCGGAAGAGGAGAGUGGAAUUCCUGGUGUAGCGGUGAAAUGCGCAGAUAUCAGGAAGAACACCAAUGGCGAAGGCAGCUCUCUGGGACGGUACUGACGCUGAGACGCGAAAGCGUGGGGAGCGAACUGG
rnacentral:rRNA from 1 species